UACGUAGGUCCCGAGCGUUGUCCGGAUUUAUUGGGCGUAAAGCGAGCGCAGGUGGUUUAUUAAGUCUGGUGUAAAAGGCAGUGGCUCAACCAUUGUAUGCAUUGGAAACUGGUAGACUUGAGUGCAGGAGAGGAGAGUGGAAUUCCAUGUGUAGCGGUGAAAUGUGUAGAUAUAUGGAGGAACCCCGGUGGCGAAAGCGGCUCUCUGGCCUGUAACUGACACUGAGGCUCGAAAGCGUGGGGAGCAAACAGG
rnacentral:rRNA from 1 species